rnacentral:lncRNA from 1 species
UUUCAGGAAAAGCUGCUUGCCAUUUUGGUGUCUGCCUUGGAAUAGCUUUUCUGCUUUGGAUGAGAAUGUUCAAUUAAGGAAAUGUCAACCCUUUUUGAAGAGAAAAAUACAUUAUUCCAGGGCAUUCAUUAUUAUUCACACAUUGACAUUGAGAGAUUUUUGUAAGAGAGAAAACAGAGUUUUUCUUCUUUAACAUUCUGCUUUGUAACAAUGAUGAUGAGGAGCUAAACUCCGUUUUGUCAAGAUUGGAGGUAGUAGCUAUUCUCAUUUGUUUAUGUAUUCCAUUUGACUUUUAUAUAUGAUAAAG